UGGCCAGACUCCUACGGGAGGCAGCAGUGGGGAAUAUUGGGCAAUGGGCGCAAGCCUGACCCAGCAACGCCGCGUGAAGGAAGAAGGCCCUCGGGUUGUAAACUUCUUUUAUUCGGGACGAAACAAAUGACGGUACCGAAUGAAUAAGCCACGGCUAACUACGUGCCAGCAGCCGCGGUAAUACGUAGGUGGCAAGCGUUAUCCGGAUUUACUGGGUGUAAAGGGCGUGUAGGCGGGGACGCAAGUCAGAUGUGAAAACCACGGGCUCAACCUGUGGCCUGCAUUUGAAACUGUGUUUCUUGAGUACUGGAGAGGCAGACGGAAUUCCUAGUGUAGCGGUGAAAUGCGUAGAUAUUAGGAGGAACACCAGUGGCGAAGGCGGUCUGCUGGACAGCAACUGACGCUGAGGCGCGAAAGCGUGGGGAGCAAACAGGAUUAGAUACCCCAGUA
rnacentral:rRNA from 1 species